UUAGUGGAAGCGUCUGGAAAGGCGCGCGAUACAGGGUGACAGCCCCGUACACAAAAGCGCAUGUGCUGUGAGCUCGAUGAGUAGGGCGGGACACGUGGUAUCCUGUCUGAAUAUGGGGGGACCAUCCUCCAAGGCUAAAUACUCCUGACUGACCGAUAGUGAACCAGUACCGUGAGGGAAAGGCGAAAAGAACCCCGGCGAGGGGAGUGAAAAAGAACCUGAAACCGUGUACGUACAAGCAGUGGGAGCACAGGUUUACCUGUGUGACUGCGUACCUUUUGUAUAAUGGGUCAGCGACUUAUAUUCUGUAGCAAGGUUAACCGWAUAGGGGAGCCGGAGGGAAACCGAGUCUUAAYYGGGCGUUAAGUUGCAGGGUAUAGACCCGAAACCCGGUGAUCUAGCCAUGGGCAGGUUGAAGGUUGGGUAACACUAACUGGAGGACCGAACCGACUAAUGUUGAAAAAUUAGCGGAUGACCUGUGGCUGGCCGGAGAAUGUUAUCACGGGAGACACACGGCGGGUGCUAACGUCCGUCGUGAAGAGGGAAACAACCCAGACCGCCAGCUAAGGUCCCAAAGUCAUGGUUAAGUGGGAAACGAUGUGGGAAGGCCCAGACAGCCAGGAUGUUGGCUUAGAAGCAGCCAUCAUUUAAAGAAAGCGUAAUAGCUCACUGGUCGAGUCGGCCUGCGCGGAAGAUGUAACGGGGCUAAACCAUGCACCGAAGCUGCGGCAGCGACACUCAGGUGUUGUUGGGUAGGGGAGCGUUCUGUAAGYCUGCGAAGGUGGCCUGUGAGGGUUGCUGGAGGUAUCAGAAGUGCGAAUGCUGACAUAAGUAACGAUAAAGCGGGUGAAAAGCCCGCUCGCCGGAAGACCAAGGGUUCCUGUCCAACGUUAAUCGGGGCAGGGUGAGUCGACCCCUAAGGCGAGGCCGAAAGGCGUAGUCGAUGGGAAACGGGUUAAUAUUCCCGUACUUGGUGUUACUGCGAAGGGGGGACGGAGAAGGCUAUGUUGGCCGGGCGACGGUUGUCCCG
rnacentral:rRNA from 1 species